AGGCAGGGAGGGGGGCCGGAGAAGCGAAAGAGAUAGAUCAAAAAGAGGAAAGAAGAGGGACUGGGAAGCUAGGGCGACUGAGGAUACGCCGAGGUCUAGUCCGGCUUGGCAGCGCGAACUAGAGAGCUUUGCGAGCCGCGGGGCUGGGAAGUCAGGGCAUAAGGGCCAGGCCUGCCCUCUGGUGCUUUCGGCUCCUCGGGCCCCCGACUUUAAAGUGCUCAAGUUGGGGUCGGCGCCAUCAUGACGCCUGAGACUGAAGUACUACCCCACCAUUCCUGUGCAGUGCAUGAUCUUCAUGCAUUCAUUGCUGAGGGAACUUCAAUUGCAGGUGUAUUGAAAAACAUGUGAAGAAAAAGUUACAAGUAAUAGAAGAACUAACUCAUUCAGGAGCCCGAAGAAAGGAACAGAACUUCUAGUGUGAGAUGCUGAGACCGCCUCACUGUGAAAGGUGUUCCCUGUCCAUUCUGAUAAGAGGGGGACUGCACAGCUUGGAUUGAUUCAUGUCUCUUGCUUGGAUCCUGCAACAUCUGACUACAGUGCAGGAAAUAAUGUUUAUACAUGAUUUCACAUACUACGGUUGGACAAGAAGGAACUACUAGGACAGGACAGCAUGAGCCGGAAUCAACUGUAUCAUUGGAAUAUGUAUUUUAGCAACUGACUCUCCUAUGAAAGCAACAGUAAAUUAACAGAGGGUCAAACAACUCAAGAUUCUGUCAGUAAUUAGUUGUUGUGAUGUAUUCAUUGACUUGACUAUCCUGAAGGUUACCCUGACAGCUGGAUUCUGAGUGAGUUCUUCAGGUUGCUUGAGGAAAGGCUAACAUCUGAGUCAGUGAGCACUAUGGCUGACUCUUGGAUAUCAUCUGUAACCCUAUUCCCUUGACAAUGAAUAACACUGAAUUCAAUUAAAAUCUGACCCAAACAAGAAGGAGCCUGAAGCUACAGUCUGUCUACAUGAAAAACAAAUUGGGAACUCAGUAGGAAAAGACACUUGCCUCCUAACCUGACCACCAGGGUUCUAUUCCCUAGACCAGCAUGGUUGAAGAGAAGACAAACUCCCAUAAGGUCUCCUCUGGCUUCAACACUGUCCUCAGGGUCUGCAUCUGGCCACACAUACACAUGUUACCUAAUUCAAUCUUUCAUUAAUAAAGUUCCAAUAAAAGAA
rnacentral:lncRNA from 1 species